rnacentral:rRNA from 1 species
CCUACGGGUGGCAGCAGUCGAGGAUCAUGCACAAUGGGGGAAACCCUGAUGGAGCGACGCCGCGUGGGGGAAUGAAGGUCUCCGGAUUGUAAACCCCUGUCAUGUGGGAGCAAAUUAAAAAGAUAGUACCACAAGAGGAAGAGACGGCUCACUCUGUGCCAGCAGCCGCGGUAAUAAAGAGGUCUCAAGCGUUGUUCGGAAUCACUGGGGGUAAAGCGGGCGUAGGCGGUUUCGUAAGUCGUGUGUGAAAGGCACGGGCUCAACCCGGCGACGGCAUAUGAUACUGCGGGACUAGAGUAAAGGAGGGGGAACCGGAAUUCUCGGUGUAGCAGUGAAAUGCGUAGAUAUCGGGAGGAACACUAGUGGCGAAGGCGGGUUCCUGGACCUUAACUGACGCUGAGGCACGAAGGCCAGGGGAGCGAAAAGGAUUAGAUACCCGAGUAGUC